GACUGGGCCCCUGCUCAAGAGAGUCCUAUGGUAAUUAAUAUUUGUGGGAUGAGUGGAUUCCAAGCAGAGGAAAGUCCCUGGCAGGAAACUGGUUUCCACUUAGGGGCAGUUUGCAGGGUGGAGACGGUGGCUCAGCCUAGGGCUGUGUGAAUGUGGAGCAGCCUGCUCAGCAGACGGGUGAGUUCCGGUCCAUGGAGGCAUGGCAGAGAGGCUGGAUGAUCUGCAGGGGAGACUCCCACGUAAGGGGAUUCAAGCAUGAGUCGCUGCAGUUUGAGGAACCCUGAUCUCUGCCAGACUGCUCAAAGAGUGCUUGCGGUUCUGCGAUGUCAUUCUCUUCCUCACUUUAGCUCUGACCAGGAGAAGAUGGAGGCUCAGGGGAGGUUGAGAGGCCCGUCUAUCUCUUCUCAUCUCUCCACAUCUUGUAGUAGGGAUAUUGGUGUGAAGAUGUUUCUGGCAAGUGUCACUGAGCUGUUACACGUAAUAAAAC
rnacentral:lncRNA from 1 species